rnacentral:rRNA from 1 species
UACGUAGGGGGCAAGCGUUGUCCGGAAUCAUUGGGCGUAAAGAGCGUGUAGGCGGCCCGGUAAGUCCGCUGUGAAAGCCCCGGGCUCAACCCGGGAAGUGCAUCUGAUACUGCUUAACUUGAAUGUUGGAGAGGGUAGUGGAAUUCCUGGUGUAGUGGUGAAAUACGUAGAUAUCAGGAGGAACACCGGUGGCGAAGGCGGCUACCUGGCCAGACAUUGACGCUGAGAGACGAAAGCGUGGGGAUCAAACAGG